rnacentral:misc_RNA from 1 species
GGAGGGAUCAUUUUCUGAUAAAAAAAAGUUUUACACUAGCGCUAGUUUACUAGCCCGUCUCUGUUAAUGCUGGAGUUAUGGUGGGGGUACAGUGAAAACUGUGCUCUCACUUUAACUCGAGCCGUCUCUGAAUGCUGGGGUUUGUGGGGGGAGAGUUUUCUUUUUUGGCGAAACGGACUUAGUUUUUUUUGCUGAAACUGACUUAGUUUUUUUUGGUGAAACUGACUUAGUUUUUUUUGCUGAAACUGACUUAGUUUUUUUUGGCAAAAUGGACUUAGUUUUUUUUGCUGAAACUGACUUAGUUUUUUCACUGUGCCCACACAGACUCGAGCGAAUUGAAGGGGGUGGGUCAACCUCCCCCUUUGAAGGCAUAACUUAACUUGGAGCGAAUUGAAGGGGGUGGUCAACCUCCCCCUUUGAAGGCAAUGCUUUAGCUAGUGAAGGUACACUUGAAAAACUGUGCCUCCACUAACUCGAGCCGAUUGAAGGGGGUGGGUCAACCUCCCCCUUUGAAGGUAAUGCUCCAUGUUAAACCACUCACUCUAACUUAGGGGGUAACCUCUAAUUAGGGCAGCACUAUUGGAGACUUUAGUGUUGAUCGAAUAUCUGUCGACGGUGGAUAUCUAGGUUCCCACAACGAUGAAGAGCGCAGCAAACUGUGAUAAAUCUUGUGAAUUGCAGAACUACGUGAAUCAUCUAGGUCUUGAACGCAUAUUGCACCCCACCGUUAAGGCUGGGGUAGGAUAAGUUGAGCGCCAAUUCUAUCUAGAUCACCAUUUAUGGUGCGAUUGGGCUGGUAAAAAUUACCUUUCCAGCCUUAAAUUACAAGGUUAGGAGUAGUGCCUCUUUGGGGGCAUGUGCUUCUAGUCUAUGACCUUCUUAUAUGUUGAGGAGUCUGGGUCUAAUCCCCCUAACCACCGCUCUCUUAUGAGAUCCAUAGAAUGUGGCCAUUAAACCGGCCGACAGGAGUGUUUGAUUACUCUCCUGUCACCCACACAAAACUGGCCUCAACUAAUCCAGUCUACCCACUGAACUUAAGCAUAUCAUUAUGUGGAGGAAAAGAAACCAACAGGGAUUCCCUAAGUAAGGGCGACUGAACAGGGAAAAGCUCAAACUUAAAAUCGGCCUGGGUGUAACCCCUUGUCCGAAUUGUAGUUUUGCGAAUGGAUUCUAGUAGGGCCGUGAUAUAAGACCCCUGGAAUGGGGCGCCAUAGAAGGUAACAGCCCUGUAAUAUCACUGUCCCUACCUGUAUGUUUCCAUUUCAAGGAGUCAGGCUAUUUGAGAGCAUAGCCUAAAGCGGGUGGUAAGCUCCAUCCAAAGCUAAAUAUUAGUGGGAGACCGAUAGCGAACAAGUACCGCGAGGGAAAGGUGAAAAAGACUCUGGAAAGAGAGUUAAAAGUAUUUGAAACCAUCGACAGCGAAGCGAAUGUGUCACCCGCUCUGUGAUGCUAAGAACCGUCACCUGUAUACACUGGAUCAGUGCGGUUUACUGCUUAUGGCGGUUAUCGUACUGGUGCACAGUACAGCGAGCGUACUCUUAGCAUUUUAAGAUGCAACAUAUUUGUGUAGCUGAUGAGGGACCUGCAGCGAGGUAAUCGGCUCGCCGGUGAAAACUGCAGCUACUCCCUAACUACCUGCAUAAGUAAUUAGGUCAAGGACCUUAUCACACCUCUGCAAGGACUGCUGCUCUGGUUGGGUUGCUAAUCACAGCCUUAAGGGGCAGCAGUCACUAAGGGUGGGAUUUUUGUUGUAUUGGGGGACCCAUUUGUCCCGUCUUGAAACACGGACCAAGGAGUGUAGAUUGUAUGCAAGUCUAAGGGACAUUAAAUCCUGAAGGCGAAGCGAAAGCAAUUUGUGUGAAAUAUCAGCAACACAGCCCGAUCAUGACACUUAGUGGGAUGUAUCGAGUUUGAGCAUACAGUCUACGACCCGAAAGACCGCGAACUAUACCUGCAUAGGGUGAAGCCAGAAGAAAUUCUGGUGGAGGCCCGUAGCGGUUCUGACGUGCAAAUCGAUCGUCAAAUGUGGGUAUAGCGGCGAAAGACUAAUCGAGCGGUCUAGUAGCUGGUUCCCUC